rnacentral:rRNA from 1 species
AUGAGGAGGUCGUUGACAACUUCUCCGAGACUUCUAUCUUCCUUUUAUCCUCGACGAGGGUCGCGUUGUAAUCGUCAAAAACGCCGCCUCCUCACCAACAAUGCCAGCGGUAGCUGGAACCCCUACCGGGGCAAAAACGCCUGGAGCCACGUCCCCUUCGAGCACCCUACCAUGUUUGAGACGCUUGCUAUACACCCUGUUGAGAAGGAGGCCGUCAUCGACGACCCCAAGGCAUUCCAGGAGAGCAAGGAAUACUACGCCAAGGUCGGCAAGGCAUGGAAUCGUGGGUACCUCCAUUACGGACCGCCCGACACCACCAUGAUCUCCGCCAUGGCCAACUUCCUUGACUAUGACGUCUACUACCUUGAGCUCAAGACGGUCGAGAACAACACCAAGUUGCGGAAGCUCUUCAUAGAGACCACAGGCAAGUCCAUCAUCGUCAUAGGCAUUGACUGCUUCGUCAACCUCACCGGAAAAUGCCGCAAGGACAAGAACACAGCAAGCAACAAGGACUCCAACAAUGAUGACAAGCCCAAGCUACCCGUAGAGCCAGAGAAGGAUGACGUCACCAAGGAGAAGCUGGACUCGGUGUUGAUCCGGCGGGGCAGAGUGGACAAGCACAUCGAGAUGUCCUACUACCGCUUCGAGGGCUUCAAGGCCAAAGAGGACGUGGCGGCAGCCAAGGUGAAGGAGGCAGAGGAGGCCGAGGAGGCUGCAAGAAAGAAACCCAAUGAGAAAGAGGAGGCAGAGGUGAAGAGAGCCAAGGAGGAAGAUAAAGGGAAGGACAAAGCACCGGAGGGCAGGAUGGACAAGCAAAUCGAGAUGUCCUAUUGCCUCUUCGAGGGCUUCAAGGUGCUCACCAAGAACUACCUGGACGUCGUGGAGCAUGGUCUGUUUGGGGAGAUUCAACGGCUGCUCGAGGAGACCGACAUGUCGCCCACCGAUGUGGCAGAGAACCUGAUGCCAAUGUCGAGGAAGAAGAGGGACCCUGAUUAG